rnacentral:rRNA from 1 species
UGGUGGAGUGAUUUGUCUGGUUAAUUCCGAUAACGAACGAGACUCUAGCCUGCUAAAUAGACGGGCGAUCCCUUCGUAGGUCGACCCGAUUCGCUUCUUAGAGGGACAAGUGGCGUUCCUAGCCACGCGAAAUUGAGCAAUAACA